rnacentral:rRNA from 1 species
AAUGAACGCUGGCGGCGUGCUUAACACAUGCAUGUCGCACGAGAACGCUUCAGCUUGCUGAAGUUAGUAAAGUGGCGCACGGGUGAGUAACGCGUGGGUAAUCUACCCCCGAAUUGGGGAUAACAUUGCGAAAGCGAUGCUAAUACCGAAUGAUAUCUUAAGUCCUUAGGUAUUUAAGAUCAAAGAUGGCCUCUACAUGUAAGCUAUUGUUUGGGGAUGAGCCCGCGUACCAUUAGCUUGUUGGUAGGGUAAUGGCCUACCAAGGCUGCGAUGGUUAGCUGGUCUGAGAGGAUGAUCAGCCACACUGGAACUGACACACGGUCCAGACUCCUACGGGAGGCAGCAGUGAGGAAUUUUGCGCAAUGGGGGAAACCCUGACGCAGCAACGCCGCGUGAGUGAUGAAGGCUUUCGGGUCGUAAAGCUCUGUCAAGUGGGAAGAACCCACAUGGUGCUAAUAUCACCAUGUGCUGACGGUACCACUGAAGGAAGCACCAGCUAACUCCGUGCCAGCAGCCGCGGUAAUACGGGGGGUGCAAGCGUUAUUCGGAAUUACUGGGCGUAAAGAGCGCGUAGGCGGUCUUUUUAGUCAGGUGUGAAAGCCCGGGGCUCAACCCCGGAAGUGCACUUGAGACUAAGGGAC